rnacentral:rRNA from 1 species
UACGGGGGGGGCAAGCGUUGUUCGGAAUUACUGGGCGUAAAGGGCUCGUAGGCGGCCAACUAAGUCAGACGUGAAAUCCCUCGGCUUAACCGGGGAACUGCGUCUGAUACUGGAUGGCUUGAGUUUGGGAGAGGGAUGCGGAAUUCCAGGUGUAGCGGUGAAAUGCGUAGAUAUCUGGAGGAACACCGGUGGCGAAGGCGGUUCUCUGGGCAUGUCCUGACGCUGAGGAGCGAAAGUGUGGGGAGCGAACAGG